ACCGCACUUAAUUGGGAAUGUGAGUGAGAAUCUCCUACUGUCCCGCAGCAGUGAGCUCCGUUAUGGCUCUCAGACAACAAAGCCAUUGAGUAUUUGCUCGAGAAGGCGUCUGUGAGUGGAGUAAAGUCUGAAGACCAGCCUUUGACGUUA
rnacentral:ncRNA from 1 species